GGGGUCUGGAUCUGUCCCGGGUUCGAGCCUGCGUGGUGGUGGCAGAGGAGAGGCCCAGGAUGGCGCUCACACUCUCUUUCUCUAAGCUCUUCAAAGACCUCGGCCUUCACCCGCGCUCUGUCAGCACAGCCUUCGGCUGCAGAGUCAACCUGGCCAUUUGCCUGCAGGGCACUUCAGGGCCGGACCCCACUACUGUGUACGUAGACAUGAGAGCGCUGCGUCACGACAGGGUUCGAUUAGUGGAGCGAGGUUCUCCUCACAGUCUCCCCUUGAUGGAGUCUGGCAAG